UCCACAAGCCACCGUCAGAUCACUAGUCCCGACUUUCGUCCCUGCUCGACCCGUCAGUCUCACAGUCAAGCCCCCUUGUGCACUUACACUCACCACCUGAUUACCAACCAGGAUGAGGGAACCUUUGGGCGCCUCCGUUACCCUUUAGGAGGCGACCGCCCCAGUCAAACUACCCAUCAGGCGUAGUCGAUGGGUAACCAGUUGAUAUUCUGGUACCGGCAUGUCACCGUCCGUGUCGAGGUGUGUGAUGCUAAGCGUGCGAGUGUCCUGGUGAUCCUUUUUUGGGGUGAUCUUGUGGCGUGAGUGUGUGAACCGAGCAUGUAGUAGGCAAGCUGCGGAGGGACGCAGGGAGGUAGCUCAUCCCCGGCGAUGGUUGUCCGGGGCUAAGUGUGUGGACUGUCUGGUAGGUAAAUCCGCUGGGCGUGUAAGUUGAGGCAUGAUGGCGAGCCUGCGUGUGUGGGUGAGUGAGUGAUCCUGUACUGUCGAGAAAAGCUUCGUGAGCGAGGUGGUGUGUCCGCCCGUACCCUAAACCGACACUGGUGGAUAGGUAGAGUAUACUGAGGCGUUCGAGUGAAUCGUAGUGAAGGAACUCGGCAAAAUGCCCCCGUAACUUUGGGAUAAGGGGGACCUGAGCUGUCGUGCACUUGUGUGGUGUUGUGGCGGUGAGGGGCGCAGAGACCAGGGGGAAACGACUGUUUAUCAAAAACACAGGUCCGUGCGAAGUCGUAAGACGAUGUAUACGGACUGACUCCUGCCCGGUGCUGGAAGGUUAAGAGGAGCGGUGAGGCACUGUUGGGUGUUGAAGCUGUGAAUUUAAGCCCCAGUAAACGGCGGUGGUAACUAUAACCAUCCUAAGGUAGCGAAAUUCCUUGUCGGGUAAGUUCCGACCUGCACGAAUGGAGUAACGAUUUCCCUACUGUCUCCACUACGAACUCGGUGAAAUUGCAGUACGAGUAAAGAUGCUCGUUACGCGCAGCAGGACGGAAAGACCCCGGGACCUUUACUAUAGUUUGGUAUUGGUGAUUGGGAUGAUUUGUGUAGGAUAGGUGGGAGACGUUGAUGCGGCCACGCUAGUGGUGGUGGAGUCGUUGGUGAAAUACCACUCUGAUUGUUCUGGUUAUCUCACUGUGGACCGUGAUCCGGUUCAAGGACAGUGCCUGAUGGGUAGUUUGACUGGGGCGGUCGCCUCCUAAAGGGUAACGGAGGCGCCCAAAGGUUCCCUCAUCCUGGUUGGUAAUCAGGUGGUGAGUGUAAGUGCACAAGGGGGCUUGACUGUGAGACUGACGGGUCGAGCAGGGACGAAAGUCGGGACUAGUGAUCUGACGGUGGCUUGUGGA
rfam:Achromatium sp. WMS2 contig-183_449, whole genome shotgun sequence.